rnacentral:rRNA from 1 species
GAUGAACGCUGGCGGCGUGCCUAAUACAUGCAAGUCGAGCGAACGGACGAGAAGCUUGCUUUUCUGAUGUUAGCGGCGGACGGGUGAGUAACACGUGGAUAACCUACCUAUAAGACUGGGAUAACUCGGGAAACCGGAGCCAAUACCGGAAAAUAUUUUGAACCGCAUGGUUUAAAAGUGAAAGAAGGGCUUGCUGUCACCUAUAGAUGGAUCCGCGCUGCAUUAGCUAGUUGGUGAGGUAACGGCUUACCAAGGCAACGAUGCAUAGCCGACCUGAGAGGGUGAUCGGCCACACUGGAACUGAGACACGGUCCAGACUCCUACGGGAGGCAGCAGUAGGGAAUCUUCCGCAAUGGGCGAAAGCCUGACGGAGCAACGCCGCGUGAGUGAUGAAGGUCUUCGGAUCGUAAAACUCUGUUAUUAGGGAAGAACAUAUGUGUAAGUAACUGUGCACAUCUUGACGGUACCUAAUCAGAAAGCCACGGCUAACUACGUG